rfam:Oryza sativa Japonica Group DNA, chromosome 7, cultivar: Nipponbare, complete sequence.
AAAAAGACAAAUCCUGGUUUCCGUGCCCAACAUUUAACCGUCCGUCUUAUUUAAAAAAAUUAUAAAAAAAAUAAAAAAACAAGUCACGCAUAAAAUAUUAAUCAUGUUUUAUCAUCUAACAACAAUAAAAAUACGAAUUAUAAAAAAAUUUCAUAUAAGACGGACAGUCAAAGUUGGACACGCAAACUCAGGGUUUGCCUUUUU